rnacentral:rRNA from 1 species
CAUUAGAGUUUGAUCCUGGCUCAGGACGAAGCUGGCGGCGUGCCUAAUACAUGCAAGUGGAACGCACGAGGUACACCGUAGUUUACUACACCGUACUUUGUGAGUCGCGAACGGGUGAGUAACGCGUAGGUAACCUACCUUUUAGCGGGGGAUAACUAUUGGAAACGAUAGCUAAUACCGCAUAAGAUAUCUUACUGCAUGGUAAGAUAUUAAAAGACGCAAUUGCAUCACUAAGAGAUGGACCUGCGUUGUAUUAGCUAGUAGGUGGGGUAACGGCUCACCUAGGCGACGAUACAUAGCCGACCUGAGAGGGUGAUCGGCCACACUGGGACUGAGACACGGCCCAGACUCCUACGGGAGGCAGCAGUAGGGAAUCUUCGGCAAUGGGGGGAACCCUGACCGAGCAACGCCGCGUGAGUGAAGAAGGUUUUCGGAUCGUAAAGCUCCGUUGUAAGAGAAGAACGAGUGUGAGAGUGGAAAGUUCACACUGUGACGGUAACUUACCAGAAAGGGACGGCUAACUACGUGCCAGCAGCCGCGGUAAUACGUAGGUCCCGAGCGUUGUCCGGAUUUAUUGGGCGUAAAGCGAGCGCAGGCGGUUAGAUAAGUCUGAAGUUAAAGGCUGUGGCUUAACCAUGGUACGCUUUGGAAACUGUUUAACUUGAGUGCAGAAGGGG